rnacentral:rRNA from 1 species
GAUGGGCUCGCGGCCUAUCAGCUUGUUGGUGAGGUAACGGCUCACCAAGGCUUCGACGGGUAGCCGGCCUGAGAGGGCGACCGGCCACACUGGGACUGAGAUACGGCCCAGACUCCUACGGGAGGCAGCAGUGGGGAAUAUUGCACAAUGGGCGCAAGCCUGAUGCAGCAACGCCGCGUGCGGGGUGACGGCCUUCGGGUUGUAAACCGCUUUCAGUUCCGACGAAGCGCAAGUGACGGUAGGAACAGAAGAAGGACCGGCCAACUACAUGCCAGCAGCCGCGGUGAUACGUAGGGUCCGAGCGUUGUCCGGAAUUAUUGGGCGUAAAGGGCUUGUAGGCGGUUUGUCACGUCGGAAGUGAAAACUCAGGGCUUAACCCUGAGCCUGCUUCCGAUACGGGCAAACUAGAGGAAUGCAGGGGAGAAUGGAAUUCCUGGUGGAGCGGUGGAAUGCGCAGAUAUCAGGAGGAACACCGGUGGCGAAGGCGGUUCUCUGGGCAUUUCCUGACGCUGAGAAGCGAAAGCGUGGGGAGCAAACAGGCUUAGAUACCCUGGUAGUCCACGCCGUAAACGGUGGGCACUAGGUGU